rnacentral:rRNA from 1 species
AGCGAACGCUGGCGGCGUGCCUAACACAUGCAAGUCGAGCGCGGGCAUUUCGGGGGUAACCCCGGGAUGUGCUGAGCGGCGGACGAGUGAGUAAUACGUGGACAACCUGCCUUAAAGCUUGGGAUAACUCCGGGAACUGGAGCUAAUACCGGAUAAGACCACGGUGUCUAUGGAUGCUGAGGUAAAAGGCGGCCAGGAAACUGGCUGUUGCUUAAAGAUGGGUCCACGUCCCAUCAGGUAG